AGGGGUAGAGCUCAGGGGUAGAGUAUACACUUAGCAUGCAUGCGGUCCUGGGUUCAGUCCCCAGUACCUCUA
rnacentral:tRNA from 1 species